GCAAGUGCCUAAAGACGAGCUCGCGCCUGAUUAGCUAGUUGGUGGGGUAAAGGCCUACCAAGGCGACGAUCAGUAGCUGGUUUGAGAGAAUGAUCAGCCACACUGGAACUGAGACACGGUCCAGACUCCUGCGGGAGGCAGCAGUGGGGAAUUUUCCGCAAUGGGCGAAAGCCUGACGGAGCAAUACCGCGUGAGGGAUUAAGGCCUGUGGGUUGUAAACCUCUUUUCUCAAGGAAGAAUCAAUGACGGUACUUGAGGAAUAAGCAUCGGCUAACUCCGUGCCAGCAGCCGCGGUAAUACGGGGGAUGCAAGCGCUAUCCGGAAUUAUUGGGCGUAAAGCGUCUGUAGGUUGUUUAAUAAGUCUGUUGUUAAAGACUGGGGCUUAACCCCAGGAAAGCAAUGGAAACUGUUAGGCUAGAGUGUGGUAGAGGUAGAGGGAAUUCCUAGUGUAGCGGUGAAAUGCGUAGAUAUUAGGAAGAACACCGGUGGCGAAAGCGCUCUGCUGGGCCAUAACUGACACUCAGAGACGAAAGCUAGGGUAGCAAAUGGGAUUAGAUACCCCAGUAGUCCUAGCCGUAAACGAUGGAUACUAGAUGUUGCGUAACUUGAUUAUGCAGUGUUUUAGCUAACGCGUUAAGUAUCCCGCCUGGGGAGUACACUCGCAAGGGUGAAACUCAAAGGAAUUGACGGGGGCCCGCACAAGCGGUGGAGCAUGUGGUUUAAUUUGAUGCAACGCGAAGAACCUUACCAAGGCUUGACAUGUCACGAAUCUCACUGAGAAGAGAGAGUGCCUUCGGGAACGUGAACACGGGUGGUGCAUGGCUGUCGUCAGCUCGUGUCGUGAGAUGUUGGGUUAAGUCCCGCAACGAGCGCAACCCUUGUCUUUAGUUACCAUCAUUCAGUUGGGGACUCUAGAGAGACUGCCGGUGACAAACCGGAAGAAGGUGAGGACGACGUCAAGUCAGCAUGUCCCUUAUGCCUUGGGCUACACACGUGCUACAAUGGCUAAGACAAAGAGCAGCAAGCUUGUGAAAGUUAGCAAAUCUCAUAAACUU
rnacentral:rRNA from 1 species